rnacentral:piRNA from 1 species
UGGCUAAUUUGGUCCCACAUUCUGGUGUUC